rnacentral:rRNA from 1 species
AUUGAACGCUGGCGGCAGGCCUAACACAUGCAAGUCGAGCGGAUGACGGGAGCUUGCUCCUUGAUUCAGCGGCGGACGGGUGAGUAAUGCCUAGGAAUCUGCCUGGUAGUGGGGGACAACGUUUCGAAAGGAGCGCUAAUACCGCAUACGUCCUACGGGAGAAAGCAGGGGACCUUAGGGCCUUGCGCUAUCAGAUGAGCCUAGGUCGGAUUAGCUAGUUGGUGGGGUAAUGGCUCACCAAGGCGACGAUCCGUAACUGGUCUGAGAGGAUGAUCAGUCACACUGGAACUGAGACACGGUCCAGACGCCUACGGGAGGCAGCAGUGGGGAAUAUUGGACAAUGGGCGAAAGCCUGAUCCAGCCAUGCCGCGUGUGUGAAGAAGGUCUUCGGGUUGUAAAGCACUUUAAGUUGGGAGGAAGGGCAGUAAGUUAAUACCUUGCUGUUUUGACGUUACCGACAGAAUAAGCACCGGCUAACUCUGUGCCAGCAGCCGCGGUAACAC